rnacentral:lncRNA from 13 species
AUGCUUCCUCUAAAGAGUCAGGAGGAGGUGUUGUACUGGGGAGGCUGGCCUGGAUUCAAAUAUCUGCUGCAAUGUAUUAAUAUCUGUAGACAAGUCACAACACCUCUCUGUUACGGUCAAAGACCUUUGGAUUUCAAGGAACCGAGACUCAGUCAAGAUGACCUGAAGAGGAGUUGGUUAAGCAAACAGAAUCCACGGUUCCAGAGCUCACGUGUCCAUGGGCCAGCUCAGUGCCUGGCAUGCUGAGAAUAUUUGGGAAAUGCCAGCUAUGCACUGUCACCUCAGGAGGGUCUCUUCUCAUUUCCAAAGCUGUCUUCUGCUUAGUGAAAUGCACAAAGACACUGGGCAAGUAUGUAUUGAGCUUCUCAUCUCCCAGGCACCAGAGACAUAUCCAUAGACUGUGUUCCCUGCCCUUGUGCUGCACUCCCCUUGAGAUAACGAUGGUGACAUGCAAGGAGCUAAAAUGUCCUGAACUGUGAGGAGACAAGCACAGGCUGAAGGAUGGAGGUGGCAGGGUUGGAGCAGGUGGG